CCUCUAGUUAGGAAGAUAAUGUUUUGUCAUUUGAUGUCAUAAUAAGCAUUAUUAAGACAGACUGUAACUUAGAAAUUCACACUAACAGCUUUGGCUACAGAAAAAGAAAAAAAUAAUUGAAAAAUCACAACUCAUCAUGUCCCUAACCACUCCCUUUUUAAAACCCUUCCAACAGCUUCUUCUUGCUCUUAGGAUGAAGACUAAACUCCUUAUGUGGACCAUGAGAUUUGGCUUUGCCCCAUUAGACGUCUGCUCUCCUGCCCCAGAUGUGCUACACAGAUUCCUGGCCUCUUGACUCAAACCCCCGGGAACGGGGCCAGUGGGCACUUUCUCCUCUGGUCCCUGCCAAGGUUGUCACUGUGGAUGAGGUGUAACAGAUUUGUGACCUUGAGAUUGCAUACAGGAAGCAUGCAGCAGGGAGACUUCUUCAACCCCAACAACUGAUGAGCAUUUCCUUGCUUGGGGUACAGAAGAGAGUGGUUGGACAGUGCAUCAAGGAAGUAUUAAUUUGAACAAGAGGGGUUGGAUCUACCUAAUGGAGCUGGAAAAGAUCUGAGACUCUUAUACAUGUAGUUAGCACCCAAUCUUCCUCAAAACCUUAAGGUCAAACAUGUGAUCUGUUCUUCCUCAUUUCCUGACUUAUAUUUCAGACUGUUUCUUGUUUUUACAUUAUUAAAGUUACUUUGAAGAUUCA